UUUUGACUUCACCUUCUUUAUUUCUCAACUGUUACAACUUUCCUCCAUAAUAAAAAAAAGAAUGAAACAAUAGUCUUCCUUUCAUCCUCCUCCUAUUUAAUCUUUUCUUGUGAUGAAUGAAAAUUCUGGUGGCGAAGCUUCUAUUAAGAAAGAAAUUGUUGGAGGAGAGUAAGUGACUGUGGAAGCUCCGACGGAAAAACCCAUGGAUGGUUUGAAGCUUCAUGUUUGGUUGGUGUUAGAUUUUCAGUCGUCGAAGGUAAUUAUGAGAGCAACAUGGUCCAAGGAACAAGAGGACUCGGUCUUUUCACAAGAACUGUGUGGAUGCAACUCGAUAUUCUUCAAGAGACGAUAGGAUACAGUUGGUACCAUUUGAUUUUUUUCUAUAAUAUUUGUAUCAAGAGACAAGAAGUUCUUGGUAUGAAGUUUGAACAGUUGUAAUAGGUAAA